AUGCGGCAGCUUCGGCUCAUCACCAACAUGAGGGCUCAUAAUGACACGUGGUUUGCAGAUUACUUGCUCAGGGUCGGUAAUGGUACAGAGGAAGCCGACGAUCAAGGCAACAUACUACUCCCUGGUGAUAUUUGUUUGCCAUCUACAGGCGAGGUUGACGACCUCGAGAAGCUGAUCGACCACGUGUUUCCGAGUCUAGAUGACAACAUGGCAGAUUCGAGUUACAUGACAUCUCGCACAAUCCUUUCCACGACAAAUGACAACGUCGACAAGAUAAACAUCCGCAUUAUAGAG
rnacentral:rRNA from 1 species